GUCUGCAACCAUACCACCCUGAGCAAGAUGGAUCUCAUCAGCUCAGAAGCUAAGUAGGGUCUGGCCUGGUUAAUACUUGGAUGGGAGACUGCCUGAGAAUACUGGGUGUGUAGGCU
rnacentral:rRNA from 1 species